UCUUCCAAUAAAACCUAUUUAUGUACAGUAGUGCGAUCAAAGUAGUGCGUAAAUGGAUUUUCAUAUAUACUUUUGCGCACUAGUGCGUAAAAGUGAUGUUUGGAAAAAUGAAGAUCCUACUCCUGUACAUAAAAUCUUGUUGCUAACUUCUGCCUAAACUGGAAUUUUGCGCAUAC